AGAAUAGUAGUUAUUUUAUAAUAUUUAAAUUGCAAUUAAAAGGUGCUCAAAAUAAAGAGUCUAUUUUA
rnacentral:tRNA from 1 species